ACGCUGGCGGCGUGCCUAAUACAUGCAAGUAGAACGCUGAAGGAGGAGCUUGCUUCUCUGGAUGAGUUGCGAACGGGUGAGUAACGCGUAGGUAACCUGCCUGGUAGCGGGGGAUAACUAUUGGAAACGAUAGCUAAUACCGCAUAACAGUAGAUGUUGCAUGACAUUUGCUUAAAAGGUGCAAUUGCAUCACUACCAGAUGGACCUGCGUUGUAUUAGCUAGUUGGUGGGGUAACGGCUCACCAAGGCGACGAUACAUAGCCGACCUGAGAGGGUGAUCGGCCACACUGGGACUGAGACACGGCCCAGACUCCUACGGGAGGCAGCAGUAGGGGAUCUUCGGCAAUGGACGGAAGUCUGACCGAGCAACGCCGCGUGAGUGAAGAAGGUUUUCGGAUCGUAAAGCUCUGUUGUAAGAGAAGAACGGGUGUGAGAGUGGAAAGUUCACACUGUGACGGUAUCUUACCAGAAAGGGACGGCUAACUACGUGCCAGCAGCCGCGGUAAUACGUAGGUCCCGAGCGUUGUCCGGAUUUAUUGGGCGUAAAGCGAGCGCAGGCGGUUAGAUAAGUCUGAAGUUAAAGGCUGUGGCUUAACCAUAGUACGCUUUGGAAGCUGUUUAACUUGAGUGCAAGAGGGGAGAGUGGAAUUCCAUGUGUAGCGGUGAAAUGCGUAGAUAUAUGGAGGAACACCGGUGGCGAAAGCGGCUCUCUGGCUUGUAACUGACGCUGAGGCUCGAAAGCGUAGGGAGCAAACAGGAUUAGAUACCCUGGUAGUCCACGCCGUAAACGAUGAGUGCUAGGUGUUAGACCCUUUCCGGGGUUUAGUGCCGUAGCUAACGCAUUAAGCACUCCGCCUGGGGAGUACGACCGCAAGGUUGAAACUCAAAGGAAUUGACGGGGGCCCGCAC
rnacentral:rRNA from 1 species